UGGAUCAGGGCCCCAGUUUUGUUCCCGAAGUAUUUUAUCUUGUCUCAUGGUGGAGCCAGCAGGUUGCAUUCCAGCUGACACUAAGGCUUAGGUAUUUGUUGAAAGUUCUUAAUUUUGAGCUUUGGUCCUCCGCCGCCCCCACUGCAGACAGACAUGAACCAUGAAUGGCAGAAGCACAAAGGUCGUGGUUCUCAGGCUGGCUGCCCUUGGGAGUCUGCUGGGUCCCAACCAAAAAGGGUCUGAAUUUGUCUCAGGGCAGCCUGGGCCCAGGGAUUUUCAGAGCUCCCCCAGGUAACUCUAAUGAGCACCAGCGUUUGGGAAGCAGCCGUGUUAGGGAAAGGCUCUGCAGGGGAGACUCCGCCUUGGGCCGGCGGCCUCCCGCUCGUGGCGCGCUCAGCGUGUAGGAUGCGGCUGCUCGGUUUCCGUGACACGGUUCUCACCCUUGCUGCCCACCAGGACCCCCUGUGAGCUCAAAAGGACCAACUGAAUGGGAAUUCUACGGGCUCCCCAUGUGAUUGUAAUGGGCAACCAGAGUUGAAACCCUCAUCUCUAAAGUCACCUUCCCUUGUACAAGCCUAGGCGUCUACACCGUGCCCCCAAGUCAGGGCAGAAUCAGAGAAACUGUGUGUGUGGAAGAGAUUCCCGAGGCAGGGCCAGAACGAGCCCACAGUCCCUGGUGUGCCUGGAGACUCAGCCACUGGUGGCCAUUCCAGAAGCCUCUGAGUCCUUGUCACCAGCAGCUAACUGAUCCUGAAAGUGGCAGAUACCCAAAUCUGAGCCUUGAGAAAGCCCUGGACAGUUUCAUUUCCUAAGAAGUAUUAGAAAAAUCCAUCUCCUGCUGCAGGGAAUGAGCUGCUCACCCAAAGCGACAGCUGUUGAACUUGCCCUUAACAUCUACUCUGCAUUUCUUUCCUGAUGACGAGCACGUUAUUACAACAUCAUGAUCUGUGUUUUUUCUUUGCUGGGGCUGUAAAACCUUCGUGAAUAGAAACCCCUACCUCUCUCACCAAUCACACCGGCUGCGUCAGGAGCACAGAGUUUUUACUAUUAAAGACACAUUCCAACAAGAUUUUUAAAUGUUAGCCUAUUUUUGUAACUUUUUCAGCACUGAACUUCGUAAGGUAUAUUUAUAGGAAAACUCACUUUUCUACUAAAAGAAAUACGUUACUUUAGAAAGACUGCAAGAGAAUCAAAAUUUGAAACGGAAAUUUGUGUUUAAAGGGGUUUGACUGAAACAAGAGGAAAUUCUCUUCUCUCUCAUAAAAAGGCACAUCACUGCAGAGCUAGGCUAGGUCGUUGUCCUGAUGAAGAGGAGACUCUUUUUCAUAUCUAUAAAGUGAGAAAAAGGUGGAAAGCACAUUUAGUUUCUUGGUCUGAAGCAGGUUCAUUUGACUCUGGGGCAAAUCAGUGGGAAAGAAUCACUGUCACAACUAAUACACAACUUCAGCUGCAUGCCGUACUCCACCCGUCUGCCAACGGGACCCUGUAAAUGUGAGAAAAACAAGAGCGGAGCACUUCGUUGGUUUCUCUAUCCCAAUCUGACUUUGAUGCAAAGUAUUUUAUUUUUGUAUUUACAAUUGAUAUGCAAUUACAAUAUAGACUAGAGAUACCAGCAGAGCCCUAAUAAUGUUUAGCAUGUUUGACGAAUGCCACCAACGGUCUUCCAAACUAAGCCGUUCCCGCACGCUAGGGAUGGGGUUCUCAACGCCGGCUGCACAGUGAAAUCGAAGGGGGAGCUCUUGAAAAUCUUGAGGCCCAGCCGUGCCUCAGGCCAGCAAAACCCAGGAUUCAGACUUUGUAAAACUCCUAAAAUCAUUCUGAUGUUCAGCCAAGGCUGUGAACCACCUGCCUAGGGAUUAGCCACAGGUGUGUGGACGUGCAGGCAGAUUCUGCAGUUGUAGACACCUGAGGAUUGAGAGAAGUCCCAAGCACAAACACCCCAGCAUCGGACUUCCCUGGUGGUGCAGUGGUUAAGAAUCCACCUGCCAAUGCAGGGGGCAUGGGUUCAUAGCCCUGGUCUGGGAAGAUCCCACAUACUGCGGAGCACCUAAGCCCGUGCGCCACAACUACUGAGCCUGCGCUCUAGAGCCCACGAGCCACGACUACUGAGCCUGUGAGCCUACAGCCUCCUGCUGGGCAACAAGAGAAGCCACCGCAACGAGAAACCUCUGCACCACAACGAAGAGUAGCCCCUGCUCGCCACAACUAGAGAAAGCCUGUGCGCAGCAACGAAGACCCAACACAGCCAAAAAUAAAUUAAUUAAAUUAAUUAAUUUUUUAAAAAACCCAGCAUCACUCGCUGAGCGUCAGGAACCUGGGCCUGGUUGGACGGGGAGGGUCCAGGGCACGUGCCCAAGCACUAGAGGGGAGAGGGCCAAAAGGAAAUACAGAACAGACCCCUUUUUUCCAUGUCUUCCAUUGAAAGUGGACUGAUCGUGAGCAUCCUUGCUGCUUGUGCAACCAGCUGGCUGCCCUGCCUGGAGCCGCUGUGCAUCCUUUAUUGCCCAGGGAGAAGGGAAGCAGUUAGCCACAGAGGGAGCCGGCAAGGAGAUCGCAUGAGUAGGUGGAUGGCGUCUGUAAAAACCAGAGCCAACGAGAGGAUGCUUGCUUUAAGAAACACGUCUUAUAUUUUUUUUAUAUAUUACAUCUGGGAUAAAAACUGAAGCAAUUAGUACUAUUUUCUCUUCCACAAGCACAAUAUGCCCUCCGAGAUUAUACAUUCCUAUCUGAAUUGCCAGCAGAAGUACUAAAAAUCCCCACCCUAGCACCUGGUAGAUAAAACUACACAUUUUUAGGUGCGUUUACUUAUUUAUUUUUUUAAAAAAAGAAACCCUUUUGACUUAAUUUGGCUACAGAGUAAUCUUGCUGUAUAAUAUAAACUCUUGGAAACAAAGACAUGCUAUGGAUCUGGUGACUGAUAUUAGAGGUGAUGAUGUAACUGAUUAGACGCCAAUAACUUCGUUUUGAAACAAGCAAUACUUUUUAUAGCCUCUCUAUAUGGUACGUUUUAACAUUGUAAAGUUUUGCUAUGAUGAAAGUAAUAUUUGUACAAAUGGAAAGCAAGAUUUUCUUUUAUAUGGUUUACACUGUUGAUCAAAACAUGUUGAUUGUAUAUGGAGUAUUAAAAAAUUAGAUGUAUACUAUUCAUUGUUACUUAUACUUACCUUAUAAAAAAUAAUAUUGCAUUCCUGUUAAUGCAGUGUUGAUAUUAGUUAUUAAUCAUAUCUGACCUACUGUAGAUGCUCUUUCCUGACAACUUUUUAACGUUCACUAAUAAACUUUAUUUUUAGAGC
rnacentral:lncRNA from 1 species